UAGAAACACAGCAGCCAAUAAUUCAGUUAAUUUACCAAGUGAUUUACCCUUCAAAGCUACAGGGGUAGCUUUCCUGAAGAGUGCAAAAACGUCUUUAGCUUUCAAAAUGGUAUAUAGUACAAACAGUGAAGCUAAUAUAGACAUAUCUGAUCAUUCAUCAUCAACAAUAACUGCAUCUGAGAAUUAUAGUUCUACAGUAACCGUGGAGUCUAGGUCAACAAUUACUAUUUCUCAUCCAAGCCGUUUUUGUUUAACUGCUACACAUUCCCUGACUCUGCCAAGGAAAAGGGUAAAAUCAAAAUGAUAUCCUGAGGACCUAAGCACUGAUGAUUCCACCGUUUCAAGAGCUUAAUCACUU